CACGUAUCCAACCUUCCGGUAACUCCGGUAUAGCCUUUCGAAAGAAAGAUUAAUCCCGGAUAGUAUGGUGAUUCCGCAUGGUUUCUCCAUUAAAGGAUUCCGGUUACCGAUGGGGAUGCGUUCCAUUAGGCAGUUGGCGGGGUAACGGCCCACCAAACCUACGAUGGAUAGGGGUUCUGAGAGGAAGGUCCCCCACAUUGGAACUGAGACACGGUCCAAACUCCUACGGGAGGCAGCAGUGAGGAAUAUUGGUCAAUGGGCGGAAGCCUGAACCAGCCAAGUAGCGUGAAGGAUGACUGCCCUAUGGGUUGUAAACUUCUUUUAUAAGGGAAUAAUUGUGGGUACGUGUACCCAUUUGCAUGUACCUUAUGAAUAAGGAUCGGCUAACUCCGUGCCAGCAGCCGCGGUAAUACGGAGGAUCCGAGCGUUAUCCGGAUUUAUUGGGUUUAAAGGGAGCGUAGGCGGGCGCUUAAGUCAGCUGUGAAAGUUUGGGGCUCAACCUUAAAAUUGCAGUUGAUACUGGGUGCCUUGAGUGCAGUAUAGGCAGGCGGAAUUCGUGGUGUAGCGGUGAAAUGCUUAAAUAUCACGAAGAACUCCUAUUGCGAAGGCAGCUUGCUGGAGUGUAACUGACGCUGAUG
rnacentral:rRNA from 1 species